rnacentral:rRNA from 1 species
CUGUUUCGGCUAGGGGUCCAUCCCGGAUUACCAACCCGAUGCAAACUGCGAAUACCGAAGAGUAAUGCAUAGGAGACACACGGCGGGUGCUAACGUUCGUCGUGGAGAGGGAAACAACCCAGACCGCCAGCUAAGGUCCCAAAGUUUAUAUUAAGUGGGAAACGAGGUGGGAAGGCAUAGACAGCUAGGAUGUUGGCUUAGAAGCAGCCAUCAUUUAAAGAAAGCGUAAUAGCUCACUAGUCGAGUCGGCCUGCGCGGAAGAUGUAACGGGGCUGAAAUAUAGCACCGAAGCUGCGGCAUCAGGAGCAACAUUAAUGGUUUUUAGGUAACGACUCACGAAGGGAGUGAGUUGGUUGAGUAAACGAAGGUUGAGUUGGAUUGAGAAGCGACAAGAAUCAUUAAUGUUGCUCCUGUUGGGUAGGGGAGCGUUGUGUAAGCGGAAGAAGGUAAAUUGAGAGGUUUGCUGGACGUAUCACAAGUGCGAAUGCUGACAUAAGUAACGAUAAAACGGGUGAAAAACCCGUUCGCCGGAAGACCAAGGGUUCCUGUCCAACGUUAAUCGGGGCAGGGUGAGUCGGCCCCUAAGGCGAGGCUGAAAAGCGUAGUUGAUGGGAAACGGGUUAAUAUUCCCGUACUUUGAUAAACUGCGAUGUGGGGACGGAGAAGGUUAGGUUAUCGACCUGUUGGAUGGUCGUUUAAGCCUGUAGGUGGGAAGAUUAGGCAAAUCCGGUCUUCUAUUAAACGCUGAGGGGUGAAGAGGAGUUUCUAAGGAGACGAAGUAACUGAUACCACGCUUCCAGGAAAAGCCACUAAGCGAAAGGUUUAUUGGAACCGUACUGAAAACCGACACAGGUGGUCAGGUAGAGAAUACUCAGGCGCUUGAGAGAACUCGGGUGAAGGAACUAGGCAAAAUGGCACCGUAACUUCGGGAGAAGGUGCGCUUACGGUAAUUGUAGCCCUUUACGGGUGAAGGUGAAGUAAGCCGAAGAUACCAGCUGGCUGCAACUGUUUAUUAAAAACACAGCACUCUGCGAACACGAAAGUGGAAGUAUAGGGUGUGAUGCCUGCCCGGUGCUGGAAGGUUAAUUGAUGUUGUAAUCGAAAGAGAAGCAGCUGAUCGAAGCCCCAGUAAACGGCGGCCGUAACUAUAACGGUCCUAAGGUAGCGAAAUUCCUUGUCGGGUAAGUUCCGACCUGCACGAAUGGCAUAAUGAUGGCCAGGCUGUCUCCACCCGAGGCUCAGUGAAAUUGAAAUCGCCGUGAAGAUGCGGUGUACCCGCGGCUAGACGGAAAGACCCCGUGAACCUUUACUAUAGCUUGACACUGAACAUUGAAUAUUGAUGUGUAGGAUAGGUGGGAGACGAAGAAGUGUGAACGCCAGUUUGCAUGGAGUCGGUGUUGAAAUACCACCCUUUAAUGUUUGAUGUUCUAACGAAGUACCUGAGACGGGUACUCGGACAGUGUCUGGUGGGUAGUUUGACUGGGGCGGUCUCCUCCCAAAGAGUAACGGAGGAGCACGAAGGUUUGCUAAUGACGGUCGGACAUCGUCAGGUUAGUGCAAUGGUAUAAGCGAGCUUAACUGCGAGACGGACAAGUCGAGCAGGUGCGAAAGCAGGUCAUAGUGAUCCGGUGGUUCUGAAUGGAAGGGCCAUCGCUCAACGGAUAAAAGGUACUCCGGGGAUAACAGGCUGAUACCGCCCAAGAGUUCAUAUCGACGGCGGUGUUUGGCACCUCGAUGUCGGCUCAUCACAUCCUGGGGCUGAAGUAGGUCCCAAGGGUAUGGCUGUUCGCCAUUUAAAGUGGUACGCGAGCUGGGUUUAGAACGUCGUGAGACAGUUCGGUCCCUAUCUGCCGUGGGCGUUGGAGAAUUGAGGGGGGCUGCUCCUAGUACGAGAGGACCGGAGUGGACGCAUCACUGGUGUACCAGUUGUUUCGCCAGAAGCAUUGCUGGGUAGCUAAAUGCGGGAGAGAUAAGUGCUGAAAGCAUCUAAGCACGAAACUUGCCUUAAGAUGAGUUCUCCCUAACGAAGAGUUAGUAAGGGAUGUUUGAGACUAAGACGUAGAUAGGUGGGGUGUGUAAGUGUAGUGAUAUAUUGAGCUAACCCAUACUAAUUUCCCGAGGGGCUUAACCAU